rnacentral:pre_miRNA from 1 species
CGGGGGAGGCCGGAUCCUGGGCUGUGUCCCGGCGCCCUGUGCUCCGGGGCCUGCGCUGUUGGAUGCGCGCUCCCGGCCGUGCAGCCCCCU